rnacentral:rRNA from 1 species
AUUGAACGCUGGCGGCAGGCCUAACACAUGCAAGUCGAGCGGUAGCACAGAGAGCUUGCUCUCGGGUGACGAGCGGCGGACGGGUGAGUAAUGUCUGGGAAACUGCCUGAUGGAGGGGGAUAACUACUGGAAACGGUAGCUAAUACCGCAUAACGUCGCAAGACCAAAGAGGGGGACCUUCGGGCCUCUUGCCAUCAGAUGUGCCCAGAUGGGAUUAGCUAGUAGGUGGGGUAACGGCUCACCUAGGCGACGAUCCCUAGCUGGUCUGAGAGGAUGACCAGCCACACUGGAACUGAGACACGGUCCAGACUCCUACGGGAGGCAGCAGUGGGGAGUAUUGCACAAUGGGCGCAAGCCUGAUGCAGCCAUGCCGCGUGUAUGAAGAAGGCCUUCGGGUUGUAAAGUACUUUCAGCGGGGAGGAAGGUGUUGAGGUUAAUAACCUCAGCAAUUGACGUUACCCGCAGAAGAAGCACCGGCUAACUCCGUGCCAGCCGCCGCGGUAACAC